GCUGCUCCGUGAGAGAUCUCAGUGUGUGCGGAGCAGAUUCAGGGGAUAUAGGGGUCCUGUGAGGAUGGACUAUCAGCCUCUGGAUGGAGGCAAUCAAGGUCUCCAUUCACUGACAAAAGUCCGGCUGAUGAUCACGCUGCGGCGCCUCAGGAGUUCCAGGGCCGCCUCGUUCGCACCACGAGAAAAGCGGAUCCAGAAAGGACCCGGAUCCACAGAUGAUUCCUGCAUGUCUUCCAUGUUCCUGACAUGUUCCAGAUGAUCCCAGCACAUCUUCCAUGUUCCUGACAUGUUACAGAGGAGCCCAGCACGUCUUCCAUGUUCCUGACAUGUUACAGAUGAGCCCGG